UGACAACCCGAGAGAUCGGGCGUUCCCCUUCGGGGGACAGGGUGACAGGUGGUGGCAUGGUUGUCGUCAGCUCGUGUCGUGAGAUGUUGGGUUAAGUCCCGCAACGAGCGCAACCCUCGACCUUAGUUGCCAGCAUUCAGUUGGGCACUCUAAGGUGACUGCCGGCUAAAAGUCGGAGGAAGGUGGGGAUGACGUCAAAUCAUCAUGCCCCUUAUGACCUGGGCUACACACGUGCUACAAUGGGCGGUACAAAGGGUCGCGAACCCGCGAGGGGGAGCCAAUCCCAAAAAGCCGCUCUCAGUUCGGAUUGCAGGCUGCAACUCGCCUGCAUGAAGCCGGAAUCGCUAGUAAUCGCGGAUCAGCAUGCCGCGGUCGAAUACGUUCCCGGGCCUU
rnacentral:rRNA from 1 species